UACGAAGGGUGCAAGCGUUAAUCGGAAUUACUGGGCGUAAAGCGUGCGCAGGCGGUUCGUUGUGUCGGCGGUGAAAGCCCCGGGCUUAACCUGGGAAUGGCCGUUGAAACUGGCGAACUGGAGUGUGGCAGAGGGGGGUGGAAUUCCGCGUGUAGCAGUGAAAUGCGUAGAGAUGCGGAGGAACACCGAUGGCGAAGGCAGCCCCCUGGGCUAACACUGACGCUCAGGCACGAAAGCGUGGGGAGCAAACAGG
rnacentral:rRNA from 1 species